rnacentral:rRNA from 1 species
GGAAGUAAAAGUCGUAACAAGGUCUCCGUUUGGUGGAACCAGCGGAGGGAUCAUUACCGAGUUUACAACUCCCAAACCCCAAUGUGAACGUUACCAAUCUGUUGCCUCGGCGGGAUUCUCUGCCCCGGGCGCGUCGCAGCCCCGGAUCCCAUGGCGCCCGCCGGAGGACCAACUCAAACUCUUUUUUCUCUCCGUCGCGGCUUCCGUCGCGGCUCUGUUUUACCUUUGCUCUGAGCCUUUCUCGGCGACCCUAGCGGGCGUCUCGAAAAUGAAUCAAAACUUUCAACAACGGAUCUCUUGGUUCUGGCAUCGAUGAAGAACGCAGCGAAAUGCGAUAAGUAAUGUGAAUUGCAGAAUUCAGUGAAUCAUCGAAUCUUUGAACGCACAUUGCGCCCGCCAGUAUUCUGGCGGGCAUGCCUGUCCGAGCGUCAUUUCAACCCUCGAACCCCUCCGGGGGGUCGGCGUUGGGGAUCGGCCCCUCACCGGGCCGCCCCCGAAAUACAGUGGCGGUCUCGCCGCAGCCUCUCCUGCGCAGUAGUUUGCACACUCGCACCGGGAGCGCGGCGCGGCCACAGCCGUAAAACACCCCAAACUCUGAAAUGUUGACCUCGGAUCAGGUAGGAAUACCACGCUGAACUUAAGCAUAUCAAUAAGCGGAGGAA